CGCAAGCCUGAUGCAGCCAUGCCGCGUGUAUGAAGAAGGCCUUCGGGUUGUAAAGUACUUUCAGCAGUGAGGAAGGCGGAGUCGUUAAUAGCGGCCUCGUUUGACGUUAGCUGCAGAAGAAGCACCGGCUAACUCCGUGCCAGCAGCCGCGGUAAUACGGAGGGUGCGAGCGUUAAUCGGAAUUACUGGGCGUAAAGCGCAUGCAGGUGGUUUGUUAAGUCAGAUGUGAAAGCCCGGGGCUCAACCUCGGAAUUGCAUUUGAAACUGGCAGACUAGAGUACUGUAGAGGGGGUAGAAUUUCAGGUGUAGCGGUGAAAUGCGUAGAGAUCUGAAGGAAUACCGGUGGCGAAGGCGGCCCCCUGGACAGAUACUGACACUCAGAUGCGAAAGCGUGGGGAGCAAACAGGAUUAGAUACCCUGGUAA
rnacentral:rRNA from 1 species